AUGCUGUUGGUGUAGUUCAUUCUUAUGAAGAUGGCAUGCCAGCUGGAUCUCAUAAUACACGAUUAACUGCUCUCAAUGUCCCUCCUAUGGGUUUGUUCUUCCCAAUGGUUUUGGUCCCAGAUGCAUAUCCUCCUCCACCCAGUGUUUGGUUUCGUGACUACGAGGACAUGCUAGAAU